ACGGGUGAGUAAUGUGUGGGUGAUCUGCCUUCGAGAGGGGGAUAACCCGGCGAAAGCUGGGCUAAUACCGCGUGACACUGCUUGAUCCUCGGAUCGAGUAGUCAAAUGAUGGCCUCUAUUUAUAAGCUAUCGCUCGAAGAUGAGCCCACAUCCUAUCACGCUUGUUGGUGGGGUAACGGCCCACCAAGGCGACGACGGGUAGCCGGCCUGAGAGGGUGUCCGGCCACACUGGAACUGAGACACGGUCCAGACUCCUACGGGAGGCAGCAGUGGGGAAUUUUUCGCAAUGGGCGCAAGCCUGACGAAGCAACGCCGCGUGGAGGAUGAAGGCCCUCGCGGUCGUAAACUCCUGUCUAGUGGGACGAAAGUCUUGCGGGUAAAUAAUCCGUGAGAGUGACUGUACCACUGGAGGAAGCUCCGGCUAACUCCGUGCCAGCAGCCGCGGUAAUACGGAGGGAGCAAGCGUUACUCGGAAUUAUUGGGCGUAAAGGGCGCGUAGGCGAUUGGGCAAGUCUUUUGUGAAAGCCCUCGGCUUAACCGAGGAAGUGCAGAAGAUACUGCUCAAUUUGAGUUCCGGAGAGGAAGGC
rnacentral:rRNA from 1 species